rnacentral:rRNA from 1 species
AAAAAGGUACUCAAGGGCACACAACGGAUGCCUAGACGUAUAUUACCGAUGAAGGACGUGGAAGACUGCGAUAAGCUUCGGGUAGCUGUCAACAAGCGCCAAUCCGAAGAUCUCCGAAUGGGGAAACCCGGCACGAGUCAUGUCGUGUCACCUGCUUCUGAAUAAAAUAGGAAGUUUGGCGGGAACCACCUGAACUGAAACAUCUUAGUAGGGUGAGGAAGAGAAAAUAAAAAAUGAUUCCGGAAGUAGUGGCGAGCGAAACUGGAAUAGCCCAAACCUUUUAAGUUUCUAUUUAUAGAUAAGCUGAUAGGCGAAUACUUAUAAGGGGUUGUGAAAUUACAUACGACCAAGUCAGAGCGUUUAAAGCAAUUUAAACUAUCUGAUUUGCGACCAAAAUCUAUCAAUUUUGGAUAAGGUAAGAAAACUGCGUGGUUAGCAGAAUAGUUUGAAUGACUAACCAAAGGACGUGAAAGUCGUGUACGCGAAAACGACGCAGACCUUAUAUAUGUUUUUUCGAGUAGGGCGGGGCACGAGAAACCCUGUCUGAAUCCGGCUGGACCACCAGCCAAGGCUAAAUAUAAUAUACGAUCGAUAGUGAACUAGUACAGCGAUGGAAAGGUGAAAAGAACCCCGGGAGGGGAGUGAAAUAGAUCCUGAAAUUGUGUGCCUACAAGGAGUCGGAGCUCGAAUUUAUUCGGGUGACGGCGUGCUUUUUGUAGAACGAUCCAGCGAGUUAAUUUCAUGCGCAAGGUUAAGUCAAGUGACGGAGCCACAGUGAAAGCGAGCCUGAAUAGGGCGAAAUAAGUGUAUGGGAUUAGACCCGAAACCGGGUGACCUAACCAUGAGCAGGCUGAAGCUGCAGUAACAUGCAGUGAAGGGCCGCACCAGGACACGCAGCAAAGUGUUUGGAUGACUUGUGGUUAGCGGUGAAAUGCCAAUCGAACUCGGAGAUAGCUGGUUCUCCUCGAAAUAGCUUUAGGGCUAGCGUCAUGUAAUAUAGCCAACGGGGGUAGAGCUCUGUAAACGACUGGGGCGGGCAACCGUACCCACCGUUAACAAACUACGAAUACCGUUGGUGGUACCAUGGCAGUCAGAACACCGGGGCUAAGCUCGGUGCUCGAAAGGGAAACAGCCCAGACCAUCAUCUAAGGUCCCUAAAUUAACACUAAGUGGGAAACAAAGUGAAAUUUCUUAAACAGCGAGGAUGUUGGCUUAGAAGCAGCCAUUCAUUUAAAGAGUGCGUAACAGCUCACUCGUCAAGAGAUUUUGCGUGGAAAAUGUAACGGGGCUAAAGUGUUAUACCGAAGAUAUGGAUUUACUAAUUUCUA